rnacentral:misc_RNA from 1 species
UAAAAAAAAAAAUUGAUGAAAAUUUUUUGAGGGAAAAAUCAUUACCUGACAAUUUGUCUCUCUAUUCACUAGGCUGCAACAUAAACUCUAUACACUAUAUGACUAACCUUUUUCUGCAGAUAUUCCUCUCUCUAAAGAAGUACUAAUCCCUUUUUGUCUCUUCCCAUAUUCGACUUUUCUUUGUAUGGUCGAAACAAUAGACGCUUUGAGCCUUUGAUGCACUUUCUCCUCCUCCCACUUUCUCAUCAUGACCCAACUG